AUGGAAGGGUCUUUCACAACGUCCGAGCACGAAGCCAAAGAGAAUAUAAUUCACGACCACUUCUCGCAUGUCAUGAAAAAAGAGAGGAGAAGCACCAAGGAGUUCAAUUGGGAGGAGAUCAAUGUGGAGUCGCAUGACUUGCACGAGCUUGCCACUCCAUUUUCCGAGGAGGAGGUCCUUGAGGCGAUAAACGACAUGCCUUCUGACAAGGCGCCUGGGCCGGAUGGUUUCACGGGUCUUUUCUUCAAGAAGAGUUGGAAUAUCAUUAAGCACGACCUCAUGAGGGUGAUUCACCGUUUUGAGUCCCUCCACACAACAAAUCUACACUGGCUCAACUCCACAAAUGUGGUACUUUUGCCUAAGAAGGAUGGGGCAGAGAGGAUCGCAGACUAUAGGCCCAUUAGCCUCAUUCACGCGGUUGCCAAGAUUACUACGAAGGUGCUCUCCAUCAGGCUUGCCCCACACAUGUCCUCUCUCAUCUCCAAUGCUCAGAGUGCCUUCAUCAAAACACGGAGUAUUCAUGCAUGA
rnacentral:rRNA from 1 species